UGGGGGCAAUGUAUGUCCAUACUUGUGUGCGUGAACCAUGGUUUCAACUAAUGGCCGUUGAUUAACAUAACGGCUUUUAUGUGACAUAACGAUCGUUAUUUACUGGUUUUUGAAGGCUCCGUUAUAUGUUGUCCCUUUAUUUAUAGACGAAUACUAAAUGUAUGUUGUAUAACGACCAUUACUAGCGUUAUAUAAAAGUAACGACCAUUAUUCACCAUUAGGUAACAGGAACGGCCAUAGCCACAUAUCACAUGCAAAUGGUAUUUUUUCUUCUCUUUUCAUUAAUGUCUAAAAGGGAUAGAUUUAAUGUCUUUAUUAUGUAGCUGUGUAUCUUAGUUUUACUUAUAUUUAUCAAUAUAUAGUCAU
rnacentral:misc_RNA from 1 species